rnacentral:snoRNA from 1 species
UGAUGACAAUUCUCCGGAAUCGCUGUACUGCUUUGAUGAAAGCACAUUUGAACCCUUUUCCAUCUGACCACUGAGAAAAAAAGAAG